UAAAACGUAGGUGGCGAGCGUUAUCCGGAUUUACUGGGCGUAAAGCGCUUGUAGGUGGUUUUGUAAGUUGGGCGUGAAAUCUCCGGGCUUAACUUGGAGAGGCCGUCCAAUACUGCGAGGCUAGAGGUUAUUCGAGGAAAGUGGAAUUCCUGGUGUAGUAGUGAAAUGCGUAGAUAUCAGGAGGAACACCCGUGGCGAAGGCGGCUUUCUAGGAUAUACCUGACACUGAGAAGCGACAGCUAGGGGAGCAAACAGGAUUAGAAACCCUGGUAGUCCUAGCCGUAAACGAUGGAUGCUAGGUGUUGGCGGACUUAACCCCGCCUGUGCCGAAGCUAACGCGUUAAGCAUCCCGCCUGGGAAGUACGAUCGCAAGAUUA
rnacentral:rRNA from 1 species